AGCGAACGCUGGCGGCAGGCUUAACACAUGCAAGUCGAACGGGCGUAGCAAUACGUCAGUGGCAGACGGGUGAGUAACGCGUGGGAACGUACCUUUUGGUUCGGAACAACUGAGGGAAACUUCAGCUAAUACCGGAUAAGCCCUUACGGGGAAAGAUUUAUCGCCGAAAGAUCGGCCCGCGUCUGAUUAGCUAGUUGGUGAGGUAAUGGCUCACCAAGGCGACGAUCAGUAGCUGGUCUGAGAGGAUGAUCAGCCACAUUGGGACUGAGACACGGCCCAAACUCCUACGGGAGGCAGCAGUGGGGAAUAUUGGACAAUGGGGGCAACCCUGAUCCAGCCAUGCCGCGUGAGUGAUGAAGGCCCUAGGGUUGUAAAGCUCUUUUGUGCGGGAAGAUAAUGACGGUACCGCAAGAAUAAGCCCCGGCUAACUU
rnacentral:rRNA from 1 species